rnacentral:lncRNA from 10 species
UCCCCCACCUCAUCCACCUCUGACUGUGGAGAGGGGAAGAAGAGAUGUUGGGCUAAUAGUUUCCAAGGGCCACAGUUCCUCCCUCUCCCCUCCUUUUUAUCCACACAUCUGUUUCCUGAGCCAGCUCACAAAAGCUUCCCUAAGUCAGGACUUGCCUGCGCUCUUCCACAGGACCUACCAAAGAGUGAACAUUUCAGGACCCGGAGUCCCCUGCUAUCCAGCUAAUCAGGUUAUCCAAAAAACUGGUGCUGGGGAAAGCAUAUGGGAUUUGCAGAGAAGAAAGAACCAGAGGAUCUUGGGCAAGAUGAAGACAGCUGGUGAGACAUGGACUGGAUAGCUGUUUGCCGUUUUGCUGUUUGCCUCCUUGUCACGACCUCAGCGACGGCAGAUGGAGCCAGUGGAGGGAGAGAGACAGACGGCAAUGCUUGGGUAGCCAGGGCUCCCUGCCGGCCCCACUCCUCCUGCAGACACGAGCACGCACACACACACGCGCGCAAAACACACACGCUGCCCUUCGCCACACGUAGCCAAGUAAAAUACACAAAAAGCAACUGAGAUACCAUUCGCACAUGACCACAUGGAAACACACAAAUGAACAAACGCAUUCAGGCAUAGCCACAUGCCAGUCACACAGAUGGAUAGACAAGAGCCUGGGGUACAAAGCCACAUGGCACAAAGCCACCUGGAUGUAUAUGCCCCUACACACGCACACAGAAAAAAACAUGCAAACUUAAGUACACACCUAUCCAGACAAGUGUGAGUGCACACACACACACACUCACACACUCUACCUGACACGUUAGUGCAUCCCCAUUGGGCCCCAGUUUCUCUCAGCAAAUUCAGAUCACCCAGCCUG